CCUACGGGUGGCAGCAGUGAGGAAUAUUGGUCAAUGGACGAGAGUCUGAACCAGCCAAGUAGCGUGAAGGAUGACUGCCCUAUGGGUUGUAAACUUCUUUUAUAUGGGAAUAAAAUGUUCCACGUGUGGGCUUUUGUAUGUACCAUAUGAAUAAGGAUCGGCUAACUCCGUGCCAGCAGCCGCGGUAAUACGGAGGAUCCGAGCGUUAUCCGGAUUUAUUGGGUUUAAAGGGAGCGUAGGUGGAUUGUUAAGUCAGUUGUGAAAGUUUGCGGCUCAACCGUAAAAUUGCAGUUGAAACUGGCAGUCUUGAGUACAGUAGAGGUAUGCGGAAUUCGUGGUGUAGCGGUGAAAUGCAUAGAUAUCACGAAGAACUCCGAUUGCGAAGGCAGCUCACUGGACUGCAACUGACACUGAGGCUCGAAAGUGUGGGUAUCAAACAGGAUUAGAUACCCGAGUAGUC
rnacentral:rRNA from 1 species